CCAGACGGCCGGAUGGCCGCCGGCAUUUUCGUUUCGCGAAAGUGCUGGAGGAAAGUCCGGGCUCCACGGGAAUACGGGGCCGGGUAACGCCCGGCGGGGGCGACCCCAGGGAAAGUGCCACAGAAAGCAAACCGCCUGUCCGGACACCGCGCUUGCGCGGCGGCGGCGGGUAAGGGUGAAAGGGUGCGGUAAGAGCGCACCGCGCCGGCGGUAACGGCGGCGGCAAGGUAAACCCCUCCGGGAGCAAGACCAAAUAGGGGCGGUAGGCCCGAUUGUUCGCAAUUGGGCAGGCGCAUUCCCGCGUCACCGCCCGGGUCGGUCGCUUGAGGCGUGCGGUAACGGGCGUCCCAGAUGAAUGGUCAUCGCCGGCAAAGUGUUAACACUUUGCCGGAUACAGAACCCGGCUUACAGGCCGUCUGGCAUU
rnacentral:RNase_P_RNA from 1 species